rfam:Bacillus sp. 2_A_57_CT2 genomic scaffold supercont1.15, whole genome shotgun sequence.
GAGAGCCGUAUACAUUGAGAAGUGUACGUACGGUUCGGAGGGGAGUACGGAGAAACCUACUUGCGUAAGCAAAUAAGGCGCUCCGUGCUUACCCUAC